ACGGGACACCUGCAUCUGCCAACAAGACUGGAAGCAGGUUGGCGCAUGGACAUUUUCCCAGAAAGGGACAGAGACGGCGAAGUUUGACGGUCUGGAAAGCAGAGACCAGCAGGGCUGACUGCUUGGGAGCACCAAAUAUCCGGACAGCGCCUCUCGGGAGGUCCGAGAAGAGAACCGCGAUCUGUUUCAGCACCGGGGCUCAGGACAGUUCCCAGCGGGCUCCGUUUCGUCUCCAGAACCCUGGACAGCUCCUCCAGCCUCCCAAAGUGCUAGGAUUACAGGCGUGAGUCACUGCGCCUGGCCCAAGUCCGGAAUUUUCAACAGGACAUGGGUGUUACUGUGCCCAUGUGACAUUUGGGGAACCCAAGGCCCUGAGAAAGGCAGAAAAAUAACCCACGCAGGGACUCUCAGCCCACAAGUGAAGCUGAGAACCGGGAAUGGAAAACAGGGAGGCAGCACAGAGGCAGGAAACUCAGGUGUCAUAGCUUGGCUCAGUGAAAAACUGCACAUGGUUACCUGUUCUCCAGCCUCAGGGCUUUUGCCUCUGCUGUUCCUGCAGCUUGGAAUGCACUCCCUCCACCUCCAACCAGAGCUCCCCACAACUGACCCUGCCUUCUUCUGCAAGCUCCAUUUCAUCAAGGGAAACGAUCCUUAUUGCCUCACCAUUUCCCACGUGAAGUCUGUAUUGACAUUCUCAUAGACCUGGGAUAUUGUGUCUGCAGCACAUAGUCCAAUUAUUUUCAUGUUAUCUACUGACAGGUCUAUUUGUCUCCCUGUUACACUGUGAGCUCCGUGAGGGCAGAAACAAUGUUAGUAUUUUCACUGCUGUGUCCCCAGCGCCUGGUCCGGGGCCCGGCACACAGCAGGCAUAUAAUAAGCAUGUGUUGAAUCAAUAAAGGCAUCAAAGAAUAAA
ensembl:lncRNA MIR7-3HG MIR7-3 host gene